CACAAGUCUUGCAAACUGUUUACUUGCUCCUGUUUUAUUUGUACGUUUUGGGAUCUAGUAAGCUGGACUGGUCCCAGGACCUGAAGGAUGAGUUCAGGCAUUGGAUGGAAACAUGGAGUCAUUGCCCUUGUGGACUUGCCCUGAUUCUGCCCUGGAGAGAAUUACUGAGGGAUAACAGUCACCAAGUUGCAGAUGCUACAAGGAUUCUACCGUAACUUCCUUGGGCAGAUGACAGCACCAAUAUGUCGUGGAACCUCACCUCUCCAGAGCCCUACUCCACUAGGGAAAGAUAGAAACAGACUGCGAUUAUGGGCUGAACUGCCAACAUCCAUGUCCAGCAAAGAAGCAACUAUAAAAACCAGACCUUUCACCUUCUACAGCCCCCAAAUAAUUUUGGUCCAUACUCCCAGAGGGAAAAACAUAGAGAAGUUUCUAAUGGAGAGGAUAGGACACAGAGCCCUAGUGGUGGGAACUAUAUGAACUUAUACCAUUAUUAUCUUACAAUUUUGUAAAUAAUUAUUAAAUCACUAAUA